AGUGAACGCUGGCGGCAGGCCUAACACAUGCAAGUCGAGCGGCAGCGCGGGGGCAACCCUGGCGGCGAGCGGCGGACGGGUGAGGAAUUCGUCGGAAUCUGCCUUUUUGUGGGGGAUAACGUAGGGAAACUUACGCUAAUACCGCAUACGUCCUACGGGAGAAAGUGGGGGACCGCAAGGCCUCACGCAGAAAGAUGAGCCGACGACCGAUUAGCUAGUUGGUGGGGUAAAGGCCCACCAAGGCGACGAUCGGUAGCUGGUCUGAGAGGAUGAUCAGCCACACUGGGACUGAGACACGGCCCAGACUCCUGCGGGAGGCAGCAGUGGGGAAUAUUGGACAAUGGGCGCAAGCCUGAUCCAGCCAGGCCGCGUGUGUGAAGAAGGCCUUCGGGUUGUAAAGCACUUUUGUCCGGAAAGAAAUUCCUGGAGCUAAUACCUUCGGGGGAUGACGGUACCGGAAGAAUAAGCACCGGCUAACUUCGUG
rnacentral:rRNA from 1 species